GAAAUGCGAUAAGUAGUGUGAAUUGCAGAAUUCAGUGAAUCAUCGAAUCUUUGAACGCACAUUGCGCCCCUUGGUAUUCCAUGGGGCAUGCCUGUUCGAGCGUCAUUUGUACCUUCAAGCUUUGCUUGGUGUUGGGUGUUUGUCUCGCCUCUGCGCGCGGACUCGCCUCAAAACAAUUGGCAGCCGGCGUAUUGAUUUCGGAGCGCAGUACAUCUCGCGCUUUGCACUCAUAACGACGACGUCCAAAAAGUACAUUUUUUACACUCUUGACCUCGGAUCAGGUAGGGAUACCCGCUGAACUUAAGC
rnacentral:misc_RNA from 1 species